rnacentral:rRNA from 1 species
GACGAACCACACAAACGUUAUUCGGAAUUACUGGGCUUAAAGGGUGCGUAGGCGGCGUGGAAAGUUGGGUGUGAAAUCCCUCAGCUUAACUGAGGAACAGCGCCCAAAACUACCAUGCUCGAGGGAGAUAGAGGAAUGCGGAACUUAGGGUGGAGCGGUGAAAUGCGUUGAUAUCCUAGGGAACACCGGUGGCGAAAGCGGCAUUCUGGAUCGGUAUUGACGCUGAGGCGCGAAAGCCAGGGGAGCAAACGGG